rnacentral:rRNA from 1 species
CCUACGGGAGGCAGCAGUAGGGAAUUUUCGGCAAUGGGGGGAACCCUGACCGAGCAACGCCGCGUGAACGAAGAAGUUAUUCGUAAUGUAAAGUUCUUUUAACAGGGAAGAAAGAGAAAUUUGACGGUACCUGAAGAAUAAGCAACGGCAAACUACGUGCCAGCAGAAGCGGUAAUACGUAGGGAGCGUGCGUUAUCCGUAAUUGUUGGGCGAAAGGGGUGCGUAGAUGGCAUAGUAAGUCUUUUGUAAAAAUGCUGGGCUAAACCCAGUAGGGCAAAAGAUACUGCAAAGCUAGAGUAUGACAGAGGCAAGUGGAACUACAAGUGUAGCGGUAAAAUGCGUAAAUAUAUGUAAGAACACCAGUGGCGAAGGCGGCUUGCUGGGUCGAUACUGACAUUGAGGCACGAAAGCGUGGGGAGCAAACAGGAUUAGAUACCCCAGUAGUC